GCGUGCUUAACACAUGCAAGUCGAGCGGUAAGGCCCUUUCGGGGGUACACGAGCGGCGAACGGGUGAGUAACACGUGAGCAAUCUGCCCCUGUCUCUGGGAUAACCACUGGAAACGGUGGCUAAUACCGGAUAUGACCUCCUUCUGCAUGGUUGGUGGUGGAAAAGUCCGCUGGACAGGGAUGAGCUCGCGGCCUAUCAGCUUGUUGGUGGGGUAAUGGCCUACCAAGGCGACGACGGGUAGCCGGCCUGAGAGGGUGACCGGCCACACUGGGACUGAGACACGGCCCAGACUCCUACGGGAGGCAGCAGUGGGGAAUAUUGGACAAUGGGCGAAAGCCUGAUCCAGCAACGCCGCGUGAGGGAUGACGGCCUUCGGGUUGUAAACCUCUUUCAGCAGGGACGAAGCGAAAGUGACGGUACCUGCAGAAGAAGGACCGGCCAACUACGUGCCAGCAGCCGCGGUAAUACGUAGGGUCCGAGCGUUGUCCGGAAUUAUUGGGCGUAAAGGGCUCGUAGGCGGUUUGUCACGUCGGGAGUGAAAACUCAGGGCUUAACCCUGAGCGUGCUUCCGAUACGGGCUGACUAGAGGGAUGCAGGGGAGAACGGAAUUCCUGGUGUAGCGGUGGAAUGCGCAGAUAUCAGGAGGAACACCGGUGGCGAAGGCGGUUCUCUGGGCAUUUCCUGACGCUGAGGAGCGAAAGCAUGGGGAGCGAACAGGAUUAGAUACCCUGGUAGUCCAUGCCGUAAACGUUGGGCGCUAGGUGUGGGGACCUUCCACGGUUUCCGUGCCGCAGCUAACGCAUUAAGCGCCCCGCCUGGGGAGUACGGCCGCAAGGCUAAAACUCAAAGGAAUUGACGGGGGCCCGCACAAGCGGCGGAGCAUGCUGAUUAAUUCGAUGCAACGCGAAGAACCUUACCUGGGUUUGACAUAUGCCGGAAAGCGCCAGAGAUGG
rnacentral:rRNA from 1 species